rnacentral:rRNA from 1 species
AACGAACGCUGGCGGCAUGCCUAACACAUGCAAGUCGAACGAGACCUUCGGGUCUAGUGGCGCACGGGUGCGUAACGCGUGGGAACCUGCCCUUAGGUUCGGAAUAACUCCCCGAAAGGGGUGCUAAUACCGGAUAAUGUCUUCGGACCAAAGAUUUAUCGCCUUUGGAUGGGCCCGCGUUGGAUUAGCUAGUUGGUAGGGUAAAAGCCUACCAAGGCUAGGAUCCAUAGCUGGUCUGAGAGGAUGAUAAGCCACACUGGGACUGAGACACGGCCCAGACUCCUACGGGAGGCAGCAGUGGGGAAUAUUGGACAAUGGGCGAAAGCCUGAUCCAGCAAUGCCGCGUGAGUGAUGAAGGCCUUAGGGUUGUAAAGCUCUUUUACACGGGAUGAUAAUGACAGUACCGGGAGAAUAAGCUCCGGCUAACUACGUG